UUUAUGGAGAGUUUGAUCCUGGCUCAGGAUGAACGCUGGCGGCGUGCCUAAUACAUGCAAGUCGAGCGAACGGACGAGAAGCUUGCUUCUCUGAUGUUAGCGGCGGACGGGUGAGUAACACGUGGAUAACCUACCUAUAAGACUGGGAUAACUUCGGGAAACCGGAGCUAAUACCGGAUAAUAUUUUGAACCGCAUGGUUCAAAAGUGAAAGACGGUCUUGCUGUCACUUAUAGAUGGAUCCGCGCUGCAUUAGCUAGUUGGUAAGGUAACGGCUUACCAAGGCAACGAUGCAUAGCCGACCUGAGAGGGUGAUCGGCCACACUGGAACUGAGACACGGUCCAGACUCCUACGGGAGGCAGCAGUAGGGAAUCUUCCGCAAUGGGCGAAAGCCUGACGGAGCAACGCCGCGUGAGUGAUGAAGGUCUUCGGAUCGUAAAACUCUGUUAUUAGGGAAGAACAUAUGUGUAAGUAACUGUGCACAUCUUGACGGUACCUAAUCAGAAAGCCACGGCUAACUACGUGCCAGCAGCCGCGGUAAUACGUAGGUGGCAAGCGUUAUCCGGAAUUAUUGGGCGUAAAGCGCGCGUAGGCGGUUUUUUAAGUCUGAUGUGAAAGCCCACGGCUCAACCGUGGAGGGUCAUUGGAAACUGGAAAACUUGAGUGCAGAAGAGGAAAGUGGAAUUCCAUGUGUAGCGGUGAAAUGCGCAGAGAUAUGGAGGAACACCAGUGGCGAAGGCGACUUUCUGGUCUGUAACUGACGCUGAUGUGCGAAAGCGUGGGAUCAAACAGGAUUAGAUACCCUGGUAGUCCACGCCGUAAACGAUGAGUGCUAAGUGUUAGGGGGUUUCCGCCCCUUAGUGCUGCAGCUAACGCAUUAAGCACUCCGCCUGGGGAGUACGACCGCAAGGUUGAAACUCAAAGGAAUUGACGGGGACCCGCACAAGCGGUGGAGCAUGUGGUUUAAUUCGAAGCAACGCGAAGAACCUUACCAAAUCUUGACAUCCUUUGACAACUCUAGAGAUAGAGCCUUCCUCUUCGGGGACAAAGUGACAGGUGGUGCAUGGUUGUCGUCAGCUCGUGUCGUGAGAUGUUGGGUUAAGUCCCGCAACGAGCGCAACCCUUAAGCUUAGUUGCCAUCAUUAAGUUGGGCACUCUAAGUUGACUGCCGGUGACAAACCGGAGGAAGGUGGGGAUGACGUCAAAUCAUCAUGCCCCUUAUGAUUUGGGCUACACACGUGCUACAAUGGACAAUACAAAGGGCAGCGAAACCGCGAGGUCAAGCAAAUCCCAUAAAGUUGUUCUCAGUUCGGAUUGUAGUCUGCAACUCGACUACAUGAAGCUGGAAUCGCUAGUAAUCGUAGAUCAGCAUGCUACGGUGAAUACGUUCCCGGGUCUUGUACACACCGCCCGUCACACCACGAGAGUUUGUAACACCCGAAGCCGGUGGAGUAACCUUUUAGGAGCUAGCCGUCGAAGGUGGGACAAAUGAUUGGGGUGAAGUCGUAACAAGGUAGCCGUAUCGGAAGGUGCGGCUGGAUCACCUCCUUUCU
rnacentral:rRNA from 1 species